AGCAGCCGCUCAAGGACAACGUCUACUACAUGCCCCAUCACGCCGUGGUUCGUCGCGAUGCUGUUACGACGAAGCUUCGUGUCGUAUUUGAUGCGUCAUCGCACGAAGCCGGUCAUGUUUGCCUUAAGGACGUACUCUCGAAAGGCACAAUGAAACAAAACAGGAUCUCACUAGU
rnacentral:lncRNA from 1 species